UAAAAAUGGAAGCGCCAAGGAUCGAGGAGAGGGAGAGUUAGUACUGAGGUUUUGUUUUUAACUUCAUCUGGUCGGACAGCGUUUUCCUUUCCUGGACUUGGGUGAGAUCUUUCUUUUUCUCACAACCAUGUUGGGUGGAUUACGAUUAUCUUUUUUUUUUCUGUUUUCUAGUGUUAGCCGUUCAGCUAAGGCACAAAUAAGUCGGGCACAUGGAUAGAGUGUACUGCAGUUUGGGAAACCACGAUCUACAAUGAACAUGUGCCACCCAAUAGUACUUAUGCAACAAAACAAGCUUGACUGAAGGUGCUGUUCAGCUCUGCAAUCUGUCUCCUCAGUUGGGUUCACCUGUGCUUGAUGAACUUAGUGCCUCGUUGUCAGGGUAACGGCAGAUGCUGCCUCAUCAUUGGUCGGUGCCGCUGCUCCCUGGGGAAGCUCCGCCUUUCGUUUUCAACUCCGCAGAUUUUAGAAGACAGAAGGACACAGACAGGACACACACAUUGUGGUGAAGCUGUACAGGUGGCAGGCAGGGCUGGGAGCGAGUUUUGUUUUUAUUGGUAAAAUGGGGAUUGGUGCAAUGAGAUUUUAAAUAUAUAGUGGUUGCUAUAUUGAAAGACAAGAUAUUUUAAAGGGUUUGAGUAUUGCACUACAUAGUUUAAAUAUUGUCACUCACUCUUCCUGAUUUGAUUUUGAAUACUAUUGCUUGUUCACGCUUGUUGCUUUAUUUUAUUUUCACUAUUGCUGUUUUGUUUCGCGCAUUGGUUUGGUUUGUUUUGACUUGGUAGAAGCCACCCUCAAGCCCCGAUGUGUGUUUACCUCAAAUUUAUCUGUAUAGAUGUUUGAUAUUGAGCACUGUUUUAAUUGUUAGACUGCUAAUUGUUUUAUUAUUUGACAAAUCUGUUUGGAUCGCCUACUCAUUUUGCUAUUGUGCACAGAACGAAACUAGUACUUUGUCCAAUAAAAAGAACCAGCACGUUGGAACAAAGUUAAAUUUUACAUAAACAUUUAUACAAGGGGACCUUGCCCUCUACAAAAUGUGGCGUAGUCGGGCACUACAAACUCAAUCUUAAACCUUUGUGGCAAUAUCUUGCUACAUGUGGCUACUAUUUCCUUUUUGAAGAUCAUUGUAAGUCUAAACCAGCUAAAUGAUGGACUUAUGCUGUUAAGUUGGUUUAAAAACUGUAUAUUGUUGUUCAACAUGUCUAAUAGGUAAUAUGUAAAGUCCAAUUUGUGUGAUUUACAGUUUGAACUGCCACUCUUUUAGCUGAGAAUUGAGUUAUGAGAAAGUACAUUAGCUCCAAGCCCUGAGGAAUCAAAGGGUUACAGCGCCCUCUGUGACCAACUGUGGUAGGUCUAGAAUCUUGUUACCUGUUAUCUGGUUCACCUGCCAGAUAUAUAUAUAUUUUUUUAAUUUAUUUAUUUACCACCCUAGUACAAAGUCCAACUGUUGACAAAGUCCACAGCAGAAAAUGAUGUUUUUUUUUGUUUUUUUUUUACCUUAUCCAUAUAUAUUUAAAAUGUUAUUGAUGUACUAUAUUUUACAAUUGUAAAACAUAUAUUUAAAUAUUACCCAUAUACAACAUCUUCUAUUAUACAUAUGGUUCUAGGUUUACCUUAUGAAACUGAACCAGAUGCUGCUGUAUACCAGACAGGACACAGACGCAUUUUGUUUUUUUUAUCCUGACCUACUUUUUACACAAUAAUACAUUGUCAAAGCCUUUUAAGUGACACUGCCAUCUCCUCUCUGUUAACAAACUGACAUAUUCAAUGUUUCAUAACCGCAUUUCUAGGAGUAGCGAUCAAAGUGCUUCAUGAGCAAGGUUCUUGAACUUUGUAAUGCAGAUACAUUGUUGAAACAGC